rnacentral:rRNA from 1 species
ACUCCUACGGGAGGCAGCAGUGGGAAUAUUGCACAAUGGGGAAAGCCAUCGAUGCAGCCAUGCCGCGUGUGUGAAGAAGGCCUUCGGGCUUGGUAAAGCACUUUCAGUAGGGAGGAAGGUAGUGUAGUUAACACCUGCACUAUUUGACGUUACCUACAGAAGAAGCACCGGCUAACUCCGUGCCAGCAGCCGCGGUAAUACGGAGGGUGCGAGCGUUAAUCGGAAUUACUGGGCGUAAAGCGCAUGCAGGCGGCCUGUUAAGUCAGAUGUGAAAGCCCGGGGCUUAACCUCGGAAUUGCAUUUGAAACUGGCAGGCUAGAGUCUUGUAGA